GUGCUAAUUAUAUAAAAGUUAAAAAAUUAUAAAUGUUCAUUUUUCGUUUUGAUGUUUUAGCGAGUUUAUCUAUAACAUCAUUGAUGUCCACGUUGAUAUCGCGAUGAAUAUAUUUUAGUAAGGCUAAAACAUUUAAACAUAGUUGUCCCGAAGAAUUUUUCCAUUUUGUUUUCAACGUUGUUUUGACGGAGUGUUGAAAACGAUCGUUCUCCCGUGGCAGUAGACAUUGGAAGUGUUAUGAAUAAUUGAAGAUGUUUAGAUAUUACUGGAUAAACAUCUGGAUUAGUUUGGAAGUAUACUUCAAUAUCAUUUUUGUUUUUGAGUUCGGUAGAUG